GAGGCUUUAUCUUAAUAAAAGUAUCUGAUUUGCAUUCAGAAGAUAUAGGUUAGUGUCCUAUAGGUCUUA
rnacentral:tRNA from 2 species